UUCCCUACGGGAGGCAGCAGUGGGGGAUAUUGCACAAUGGGGGAAACCCUGAUGCAGCGACGCCGCGUGGGUUAAGAAUCGCCUCGGCGCGUAAAGCCCUGUCAGCAGGGAAGAAAAUGUCGGUACCUGAAGAAGAAGCCCCGGCUAACUACGUGCCAGCAGCCGCGGUAAUACGUAGGGGGCAAGCGUUAUCCGGAUUUACUGGGUGUAAAGGGGGCGCAGACGGCGAUGCAAGCCAGGCGUG
rnacentral:rRNA from 1 species